rnacentral:rRNA from 1 species
AUUGAACGCUGGCGGCAGGCUUAACACAUGCAAGUCGAGCGAGCGGCGGACGGGUGAGUAAUGUCUGGGAAACUGCCUGAUGGAGGGGGAUAACUACUGGAAACGGUAGCUAAUACCGCAUACCAUCAGAUGUGCCCAGAUGGGAGUAGCGAGUGGGUGGGGUAACGGCUCACCAAGGCGAAGAUCCCUAGCUGGUGUGAGAGGAUGACCAGCCACACGUGAACUGAGACACGGUCCAGACUCCUACGGGAGGCAGCAGUGGGGAAUAGUGCACAAUGGGCGCAAUCCUGAUGCAGCCAGGCCGCGUGUGUGAAGAAGGCCUUCGGGUUGUAAAGCACUGCCAGCGAGGAGGCGUUACUCGCAGAAGAAGCACCGGCUAACUCCGUGCCAGCAGCCGCGGUAAUAC